rnacentral:rRNA from 1 species
UACGGGGGGGGCAAGCGUUGUUCGGAAUUACUGGGCGUAAAGGGCUCGUAGGUGGCCAACUAAGUCAGACGUGAAAUCCCUCGGCUUAACCGGGGAACUGCGUCUGAUACUGGAUGGCUUGAGGUUGGGAGAGGGAUGCGGAAUUCCAGGUGUAGCGGUGAAAUGCGUAGAUAUCAGGAGGAACACCCGUAGCGAAGGCGGCACUCUGGGCCGAUACUGACACUGAGGAGCGAAAGCGUGGGGAGCGAACAGG